AGUGAACGCUGGCGGUAGGCCUAACACAUGCAAGUCGAACGGCAGCACAGAGGAGCUUGCUCCUUGGGUGGCGAGUGGCGGACGGGUGAGGAAUACAUCGGAAUCUACUCUGUAGUGGGGGAUAACGUAGGGAAACUUACGCUAAUACCGCAUAAGACCUACGGGUGAAAGCAGGGGAUCUUCGGACCUUGCGCGAUUGAAUGAGCCGAUGUCGGAUUAGCUAGUUGGCGGGGUAAAGGCCCACCAAGGCGACGAUCCGUAGCUGGUCUGAGAGGAUGAUCAGCCACACUGGAACUGAGACACGGUCCAGACUCCUUCGGGAGGCAGCAGUGGGGAAUAUUGGACAAUGGGCGCGAGCCUGAUCCAGCCAUACCGCGUGGGUGAAGAAGGCCUUCGAGUUGUAAAGCCCUUUUGUUGGGAAAGAAAUCCAUCUGGUUAAUACCCGGGUGGGAUGACGGUACCCAAAGAAUAAGCACCGGCUAACUUCGUGCCAGCAGCCGCGGUAA
rnacentral:rRNA from 1 species